GUAUUGGACUUUGCGUCGCGAUAUCUCCGCUCGUAGGACACGGAGAGAAAAAAUGAAAACACUUUUAUUAUGCAAUUCAUCACCAAGCUAUCGAUUGAGACUACUCAGACCUUGAUCGGUUCAGCCGUUACUGACGGUUCUCGUUAUUCUUCACGAGAGAAAUAGAGCAGGGAAGAUAUAGAGCAAGAUUUCUCAUUGCCUUGUCAGCAUUAAGAAAGAUAUGCAAUCAUCCAGACUUAUUUUUAUAUAUUAGAGAACAAGAUUCUGAUGAAAAUAUCAAUUUGUCCAAAGAAACUUUAGAGAACCACUUGGUUAUCACUUUUGAAAAUCUGGCAGAAACAAGGACACAUGGUGCUACUUUCUACUCAGGGAAGACAGGCUGACCUGGAAAUUUAAUAUAAGAGAUAAUAUUGAUAAUUGCUACCUUUAUGAAACAGACAUUUGUAGAAUAGAUACAAAAUAAUAAGACUAUAGUAAUAUGUGUAAAAAUGUAAAAAAUGGAAAUUGAAUAAUUUUAAUUCUUAA